GAAAAUAACUUAGUGGCGAACGGGUGAGUAACGCGUGAGUAACCUGCCCUGGAGUGGGGGACAACAGUUGGAAACGGCUGCUAAUACCGCAUAAGCCCACGAUCCGGCAUCGGAUUGAGGGAAAAGGAUUUAUUCGCUUCAGGAUGGACUCGCGUCCAAUUAGCUAGUUGGUGAGGUAACGGCCCACCAAGGCGACGAUUGGUAGCCGGACUGAGAGGUUGAACGGCCACAUUGGGACUGAGACACGGCCCAGACUCCUACGGGAGGCAGCAGUGGGGGAUAUUGCACAAUGGGGGAAACCCUGAUGCAGCGACGCCGCGUGGAGGAAGAAGGUUUUCGGAUUGUAAACUCCUGUCGUUAGGGACGAUAAUGACGGUACCUAACAAGAAAGCACCGGCUAACUACGUGCCAGCAGCCGCGGUAAAACGUAGGGUGCAAGCGUUGUCCGGAAUUACUGGGUGUAAAGGGAGCGCAGGCGGACCGGCAAGUUGGAAGUGAAAACUAUGGGCUCAACCCAUAAAUUGCUUUCAAAACUGCUGGCCUUGAGUAGUGCAGAGGUAGGUGGAAUUCCCGGUGUAGCGGUGGAAUGCGUAGAUAUCGGGAGGAACACCAGUGGCGAAGGCGACCUACUGGGCACCAACUGACGCUGAGGCUCGAAAGCAUGGGUAGCAAACAGGAUUAGAUACCCUGGUAGUCCAUGCCGUAAACGAUGAUUACUAGGUGUUGGAGGAUUGACCCCUUCAGUGCCGCAGUUAACACAAUAAGUAAUCCACCUGGGGAGUACGACCGCAAGGUUGAAACUCAAAGGAAUUGACGGGGGCCCGCACAAGCAGUGGAGUAUGUGGUUUAAUUCGAAGCAACGCGAAGAACCUUACCAGGUCUUGACAUCCGAUGCAUAGUGCAGAGAUGCAUGAAGUCCUUCGGGACAUCGAGACAGGUGGUGCAUGGUUGUCGUCAGCUCGUGUCGUGAGAUGUUGGGUUAAGUCCCGCAACGAGCGCAACCCUUAUUGCCAGUUACUACGUAAGAGGACUCUGGCGAGACUGCCGUUGACAAAACGGAGGAAGGUGGGGAUGACGUCAAAUCAUCAUGCCCUUUAUGACCUGGGCUACACACGUACUACAAUGGCGUUUAACAAAGAGAAGCAAGACCGCGAGGUGGAGCAAAACUCAAAAACAACGUCUCAGUUCAGAUUGCAGGCUGCAACUCGCCUGCAUGAAGUCGGAAUUGCUAGUAAUCGCGGAUCAGCAUGCCGCGGUGAAUACGUUCCCGGGCCU
rnacentral:rRNA from 1 species